rnacentral:lncRNA from 1 species
AGCAGGACCCGUGCUCUCAAAUUCCAUCUCGUACCAUCUGCCUAUGCCAUAGCAGGACCCGUGCCCUCAAAUUCCAUCUCGUACCAUCUGCCUGUGCCAUAGCAGGACCCGUGAUCUCAAAUUCCAUCUCGUACCAUCUGCCUGUGCCAUAGCAGGACCCGUGCCCUCCAAUUCCAUCUCGUACCAUCUGCCUGUGCCAUAGCAGGACCCGUGCCCUCAAAUUCCAUCUCGUACCAUCUGCCUGUGCCAUAGCAGGACCCAUGAUCUCAAAUUCCAUCUCGUACCAUCUGCCUGUGCCAUAGCAGGACCCGUGCCCUCAAAUUCCAUCUCGUACCAUCUGCCUGUGCCAUAGCAGGACCCAUGCUCUCAAAUUCCAUCUCGUACCAUCUGCCUGUGCCA